rnacentral:rRNA from 1 species
CUUGCUUAAAUAUAAGAGGUCCAGCCUGCCCAGUGACACAGUUCAACGGCCGCGGUAUCCUAACCGUGCGAAGGUAGCGUAAUCACUUGUUCUUUAAAUGGGGACUAGUAUGAAUGGCACCACGAGGGUUGAACUGUCUCCUUUCUCUAAUCAGUGAAACUAAUCUCCCCGUGAAGAAGCGGGAAUUAUUUUAUAAGACGAGAAGACCCUAUGGAGCUUAAAACAAAUUGACAUCUGCUUCCACUUACUUCAAUUCCUGAACAAUUACACAAAAUACAGCAUCAUUGAUCAAUAGUUUUAGAUUGGGGUGAUCAUGGAGCAAAAAACAACCUCCACGACGAAAAGGAAUAUCCCCUGAGCCAAAAGCCACAACUUUAAGCACUAAAAAAUUAACGCACCUUGACCCAAUUUUUUGAGCAACGAACCAAGUUACCCUAGGGAUAACAGCGCAAUCCACUUCAAGAGCCCCUAUCGACAAGUGGGCUUACGACCU